GGCCAAGUUUUUAAGGGCGCACGGUGGAUGCCUUGGCACCAGGAACCGAUGAAGGACGUGGGAGGCCACGAUAGUCCCCGGGGAGUCGUCAACCAGGCUUUGAUCCGGGGGUUUCCGAAUGGGGAAACCCGGCAGUCGUCAUGGGCUGUCACCCGCUGCUGAACACAUAGGCAGUGUGGAGGGAACGCGGGGAAGUGAAACAUCUCAGUACCCGCAGGAAGAGAAAACAACCGUGAUUCCGGGAGUAGUGGCGAGCGAAACCGGAUGAGGCCAAACCGUAUGCGUGUGAGACCCGGCAGGGGUUGCGUAUACGGGGUUGUGGGAUCUCUCUUUCACGGUCUGCCGGCCGUGAGACGAGUCAGAAACCGUUGAUGUAGGCGAAGGACAUGCGAAAGGUCCGGCGUAGAGGGUAAGACCCCCGUAGUCGAAACGUCAGCGGCUCGUUUGAGAGACACCCAAGUAGCACGGGGCCCGAGAAAUCCCGUGUGAAUCUGGCGGGACCACCCGCUAAGCCUAAAUAUUCCCUGGUGACCGAUAGCGGAUAGUACCGUGAGGGAAUGGUGAAAAGUACCGCGGGAGCGGAGUGAAAUAGUACCUGAAACCGUGUGCCUACAAGCCGUGGGAGCGUCGGAUGGAAGCUUGCUUCCAUCUCGUGACUGCGUGCCUUUUGAAGAAUGAGCCUGCGAGUUUGCGGUGUGUUGCGAGGUUAACCCGGGUGGGGAAGCCGUAGCGAAAGCGAGUCCGAAUAGGGCGUUUCAGUAGCACGCUCAAGACCCGAAGCGGAGUGAUCUAGCCAUGGGCAGGUUGAAGCGGAGGUAAGACUUCGUGGAGGACCGAACCCACCAGGGUUGAAAACCUGGGGGAUGACCUGUGGUUAGGGGUGAAAGGCCAAUCAAACUCCGUGAUAGCUGGUUCUCCCCGAAAUGCAUUUAGGUGCAGACGUCGUGUGUUUCUUGCCGAGGUAGAGCACUGGAUAGGCGAUGGGCCUACCGGGUUACUGACCUUAGCCAAACUCCGAAUGCCGGUAAGUGAGAGCGCGGCAGUGAGACUGUGGGGAGUAAGCUCCAUGGUCGAGAGGGAAACAGCCCAGAGCAUUGACUAAGGCCCCUAAGCGUACGCUAAGUGGGAAAGGAUGUGGAGUCGCACAGACAACCAGGAGGUUGGCUUAGAAGCAGCCACCCUUGAAAGAGUGCGUAAUAGCUCACUGGUCUAGUGAUUCCGCGCCGACAAUGUAGCGGGGCUCAAGCGUACCGCCGAAGUCGUGUCAUUGCAGCAAUACGGC
rnacentral:ncRNA from 1 species